rnacentral:rRNA from 1 species
UACGGAGGGUGCAAGCGUUAUCCGGAUUUACUGGGUUUAAAGGGUGCGUAGGUGGGCAGGUAAGUCAGUGGUGAAAUCUCCGGGCUUAACCCGGAAACUGCCAUUGAUACUAUCUGUCUUGAAUUAUCUGGAGGUGAGCGGAAUAUGUCAUGUAGCGGUGAAGUGCUUAGAUAUGACAUAGAACACCAAUUGCGAAGGCAGCUCACUACGGGUAUAUUGACACUGAGGCACGAAAGCGUGGGGAUCAAACAGG